AACAGGGGGGACUAGUGUUAUUCUUAAUUAUUGGGCGUAAAGCGCAAGUAGGCGGUCGAUCAAGUUCUUAUAAAAAUGCCAGAGCCUAACUCUGGCACACGUUAGAAUACUAAUCAACUCGAGUCACUUUAAUGAUUGUGGAAUUUCUAGGGUAGAGUUAAAAUUCUUUGAUCCUAGAAGGAACAUCAACGGCCAAGGCAACAAUCAAGGAGAAGACUGACGCUGAUUUGCGAAAGCAUGGGUAGCAAACAGG
rnacentral:rRNA from 1 species